UCUGAUGCACUUUAUGCCACACCUACCGGAUCAAAUGAUGACUGGUACUGGUUGUAUGCAGCUAUAAAAUUCAGGUGCUUAAUUGUGACCAAUGAUGAAAUGAGAGAUCAUUUAUUUCAACUUUUGGGAAAUGACAUCUUCCCCAAGUGGAAAGAAAGACAUCAAGUACAUUUUAGUUUCUCUGAUACUGGUCCAGAGUUUCACAUGCCCCCUCCUUGUUCUGUUGUAAUUCAGGAAUCAGAGGAAGGCCAUUGGCAA